UAACCGUGAUUCAAUUUUUUUUUCUUUUUUUUUAUCACUACAAGCAGUAUUAUGAGUGCGGCUCUGUUCUGAGUGACAAUUACCUCAGCACAGCCUCGACCAAUCAGCACCAAGUAUUCAAGUCACGUGAUACUCUCUCCUCGCCGUCUCCUCAGCCAUUCGCCCUGCGCCCGCUGACGUGAUGUGACGGGUCUCCGGUUGUGUUGCAGCGGUGAGGUGGUGUUGCAUCUUUUCUCAGCGGGCGUGUUCUGGUGGAGUGCGGUGUGGAGGGAGAGGUGGAUAGGAGAUAAUUGGUGGGCUGUGUGUGGUGAGUGCCACAUUGUCUGUGAGGGACCCCCAGAGCCACACAGCACCAGCUGCAACAGCUACAGCAGCAGCAGCAGCAGCAGCAGGAGGAGGAGGAAAUGGCAUCCACCUUCUACUUCACCCAGUGUCACCGGGGCCUCCUCCAGCAGCUGGCCAGGGUGCAGGGACAGGAUGAGCAAGCAGGUGGUGACAGAGAGGGUGGCCAGCUUGUCCCUCCCUCCUGCCACCCAGCCAUAGCACUGGCAGUUGCUGCAGUGAGACUGCCCAGGCACAAGUUUGUGCACGUGUCCAGGACGUGAAGGUGAUGGGAACGUGUCCUGAAGGAGGGAGCAGAGCUGUAAGAGUACUCGAGUCUGCUGCUGUGGUGGGAGGAGGAGAAAAACAUCAGCAGUAGUUAGUAGUGGUAGUAGAAGUAUUCAGCAGUGCUGCUGCUGCUGCUGCUGCUGUCAGUGGUGCAGCUGUUCACUCCUCCACAGCUGCUGCCUUCCCUCAACAUACUGUGUCUUCCCUCACCUACAAUGAACAACUAUGAACAAUACCUCUUGUGCAAUCAGGCAGCGCUCAGCUGUACUCACCGAUAGACUGACCACUAAGAAUUACCUGUGGGCCACAUGACAAGGCCCACGCCAGCCAGGCUUGGUUGCCAGUCAAUAACAACAACAACAACAACAUCUCGUGCAAUGAAGAACACUGAAUAACAACAACACCUCUCCCCUGCAUCAUCAACAAUCAACAACAUCUGCUUUGUUUCACUCAUGCUGUGCCCUCCCCUCUCUCUCUCUCUCUCUCUCUCUCUCUCUCUCUCUCUCUCUCUCUCUCUCUCUCUCACCUCACCUCACCUCAGCCCACAGUGCCACAGUAUGUCCCCCCACAGUAUGCUUACAAACCCACAGUGACUCCCCACAGUCCCUCACCAAUAAGUGACCCCCUCACACACACACACACACACACACACACACACACACACACACACACACACA